UACGUAGGGUGCGAGCGUUGUCCGGAAUUAUUGGGCGUAAAGAGCUCGUAGGCGGUUUGUUGCGUCGGCUGUGAAAUCCCGAGGCUCAACCUCGGGUCUGCAGUCGAUACGAGCAAACUAGAGUGUUGCAGGGGAGACUGGAAUUCCUGGUGUAGCGGUGGAAUGCGCAGAUAUCAGGAGGAACACCAAUAGCGAAGGCAGCUCGCUGGGACGUUACUGACACUGAGGCGCGAAAGCGUGGGGAGCGAACAGG
rnacentral:rRNA from 1 species